rnacentral:rRNA from 1 species
GACGAACGCUGGCGGCGUGCUUAACACAUGCAAGUCGAACGGAAAGGCCCUGCUUUUGUGGGGUGCUCGAGUGGCGAACGGGUGAGUAACACGUGAGUAACCUGCCCUUGACUUUGGGAUAACUUCAGGAAACUGGGGCUAAUACCGGAUAGGAGCUCCUGCUGCAUGGUGGGGGUUGGAAAGUUUCGGCGGUUGGGGAUGGACUCGCGGCUUAUCAGCUUGUUGGUGGGGUAGUGGCUUACCAAGGCUUUGACGGGUAGCCGGCCUGAGAGGGUGACCGGCCACAUUGGGAAUGAGAGACGGCCCAGACUCCUACGGGAGGCAGAAGUGGGGAAUAUGGCACAAGGGGCGGAAGCCGGAUGCAGCAACGCCGCGUGCGGGAUGACGGCCUUCGGGUUGUAACCCGCUUUCGCCUGUGACGAAGCGUGAGUGACGGUAAUGGGUAAAGAAGCCCCGGCUAACUACGUG